UGGCAAGCGGCAUGUGGCCCCGCAUUCGUAAGGGCCCUGCACUGCAUUCAAUGCUCUGCUUUCUUGAAAGUCUGAAUAUUUGGCCUGGCGCGGUGGGUGGCUCAUACACGUAAUCCCAGCACUUUCACAAUGAUACUGACUUCAGGCUUCUGGCCUCCAGAACUGUGGGGCAAUAGGUUUCUGUUGUUCUAAGCCACCAAGUUCAUGUUAGUGUGUCCUGGGAGCCCCAAGAAAUGCACCCAGAUUCCAGGCAAACCCAGGCAGCCCAAGGGCAGCCUCUGUGGUCUUUAUCUCUGAGUCGCCAGGAGCUCCGAAGGGAACUGCAAUGGAGGAAACCCUCCCAGCAUUUUGGGUCAGAGACCCUAGCCCUGAAGACCUGCCCCUGCCCCCGUGUCUGGCUGUGACCCCAGAGAGCAAGCGAGGAGGAGGAGGCUCAUCACUGCGCCAGCGGUCCUGGCCCCCGAGCCACCGGAUGCUACAUUCGGCUAUGUCCCCAGCAAUCCCCCUGGUCCGUGGGCCAGAG
rnacentral:lncRNA from 1 species